CAUUAGAAGACAUUAGAAGAACAGGUGAGAGUUUAGCCAUUAGAAGAACAGGUGAGAGUUUAGCCAUUAGAAGAACAGGUGAGAGUUUAGCCAUUAGAAGAACAGGUGAGAGUUUAACCAUUAAGAGGAACAGGUGAGAGUUUAGCCAUUAGAAGAACAGGUGAGAGUUUAGCCAUUAAGAAGAACAGGUGAGAGUUUAGCCAUUAGAAGAACAGGUGAGAGUUUAGCCAUUAGAAGAACAGGUGAGAGUUUAGCCAUUAGAAGAACAGGUGAGAGUUUAGCCAUUAAGAAGAACAGGUGAGAGUUUAGCCAUUAGAAGAACAGGUGAGAGUUUAGCCAUUAGAAGAACAGGUGAGAGUUUAGCCAUUAGAAGAACAGGUGAGAGUUUAGCCAUUAGAAGAACAGGUGAGAGUUUAGCCAUUAGAAGACAUUAGAAGAACAGGUGAGAGUUUAGCCAUUAGAAGACAUUAGAAGAACAGGUGAGAGUUUAGCCAUUAGAAGAACAGGUGAGAGUUUAGCCAUUAGAAGAACAGGUGAGAGUUUAGCCAUUAGAAGAACAGGUGAGAGUUUAGCCAUUAGAAGAACAGGUGAGAGUUUAGCCAUUAGAAGAACAGGUGAGAGUUUAGCCAUUAAGAAGAACAGGUGAGAGUUUAACCAUUAGAAGAACAGGUGAGAGUUUAGCCAUUAAGAAGAACAGGUGAGAGUUUAGCCAUUAGAAGAACAGGUGAGAGUUUAGCCAUUAGAAGAACAGGUGAGAGUUUAGCCAUUAGAAGAACAGGUGAGAGUUUAGCCAUUAAGAAGAACAGGUGAGAGUUUAGCCAUUAGAAGAACAGGUGAGAGUUUAGCCAUUAAGAAGAACAGGUGAGAGUUUAGCCAUUAGAAGAACAGGUGAGAGUUUAGCCAUUAGAAGAACAGGUGAGAGUUUAGCCAUUAAGAAGAACAGGUGAGAGUUUAGCCAUUAAGAAGAACAGGUGAGAGUUUAGCCAUUAGAAGAACAGGUGAGAGUUUAGCCAUUAGAAGAACAGGUGAGAGUUUAGCCAUUAGAAGAACAGGUGAGAGUUUAGCCAUUAGAAGAACAGGUGAGAGUUUAGCCAUUAGAAGAACAGGUGAGAGUUUAGCCAUUAGAAGAACAGGUGAGAGUUUAGCCAUUAGAAGACAUUAGAAGAACAGGUGAGAGUUUAGCCAUUAGAAGAACAGGUGAGAGUUUAGCCAUUAGAAGACAUUAGAAGAACAGGUGAGAGUUUAGCCAUUAGAAGAACAGGUGAGAGUUUAGCCAUUAGAAGAACAGGUGAGAGUUUAGCCAUUAGAAGAACAGGUGAGAGUUUAGCCAUUAGAAGAACAGGUGAGAGUUUAGCCAUUAGAAGAACAGGUGAGAGUUUAGCCAUUAGAAGAACAGGUGAGAGUUUAGCCAUUAGAAGAACAGGUGAGAGUUUAGCCAUUAGAAGAACAGGUGAGAGUUUAGCCAUUAGAAGAACAGGUGAGAGUUUAGCCAUUAGAAGAACAGGUGAGAGUUUAGCCAUUAGAAUAACAGGUGAGAGUUUAGCCAUUAGAAUAACAGGUGAGAGUUUAGCCAUUAGAAGAACAGGUGAGAGUUUAGCCAUUAGAAGAACAGGUGAGAGUUUAGCCGUUAGAAGAACAGGUGAGAGUUUAGCCAUUAGAAGAACAGGUGAGAGU